rnacentral:rRNA from 1 species
AGUGAACGCUGGCGGUAGGCCUAACACAUGCAAGUCGAACGGCAGCACAGUAAGAGCUUGCUCUUACGGUUGGCGAGUGGCGGACGGGUGAGGAAUACAUCGGAAUCUACUUUUUCGUGGGGGAUAACGUAGGGAAACUGACGCUAAUACCGCAUACGACCUACGGGUGAAAUCAGGGGAUCUUCGGACCUUUCGCGAUUGUAUGAGCCGAUGUCGGAUUAGCUAGUUGGCGGGGUAAAGGCCCACCAAGGCGACGAUCCGUAGCUGGUCUGAGAGGAUGAUCAGCCACACUGGAACUGAGACACGGUCCAGACUCCUACGGGAGGCAGCAGUGGGGAAUAUUGGACAAUGGGCGCAAGCCUGAUCCAGCCAUACCGCGUGGGCGAAGAAGGCCUUCGGGUUGUAAAGCCCUUUUGUUGGGAAAGAAAAGCAGCAGGUUAAUACCCCGCUGUUCUGACGGUACCCAAAGAAUAAGCAACGGCUAACUUCGUG